rnacentral:tRNA from 2 species
GGGGGUGUAGCUCAGUUGGCAGAGCGCAGCAAUCGCACUGCUGAGGCCCGGGGUUCAAUUCCCCGCACCUCCA